rnacentral:rRNA from 1 species
UACGGAAGGCAGCAGUGGGGAAUAUUGCACCAAUGGGCGCAAGCCUAGAUGCAGGCCAGUGCCGCGUGUAUGAAGAAGGCCUUCGGGUUGUAAAGUACUUUCAGUCGUGAGGAAGGUGUUAAGGUUAAUAACCUUAGCAAUUGACGUUAGCGACAGAAGAAGCACCGGCUAACUCCGUGCCAGCAGCCGCGGUAAUACGGAGGGUGCGAGCGUUAAUCGGAAUUACUGGGCGUAAAGGGCACGCAGGCGGUUAAUUAAGUUGGAUGUGAAAUCCCCGGGCUUAACCUGGGAAUGGCAUUCAAGACUGGUUAGCUAGAGUCUUGUAGAGGGGGUAGAAUUCCAUGUGUAGCGGUGAAAUGCGUAGAGAUGUGGAGGAAUACCGGUGGCGAAGGCGGCCCCUGGACAAAGACUGACGCUCAUGUGCGAAAGCGUGGGGAGCAAACAGGGAUUAGAUACC